UGGGCUUGUACCCUUCUUUGUUGUUGUAGGUACCAUAGUCAUCACCAUAUCCAUUAUUACGAACAGGACUACCAGUGGGCUUGGGCUUGUACCCAUCUUUGUUGUUGUAGUUACCAUAGUCAGCACCAAAUCCAUCAUUAUAAACGGGGAUCACAGUGGGCUUGUACCCCUGUUUGUUGUUGUGGUCUCCAUAGUCAGCACCAUAACCAUCACUAUAAACGGGAGAGCCACUGGGCUUGGGCUUGGGCUUGUACCCUUGUUUGUUACUGUAGUCUCCAUAGUCAGCACCAUGUCCAUCAUUAUAAACCGGAGUGAAACUGGGCUUGGGCUUAUAGUCUCCAUAGUCAGCACCAUAUCCAUCAUUAUAAACGGGAGAGCCGCUGGGCUUGGGUUUGGGCUUGUACCCUUGUUUGUUGUUAUAGUCUCCAUAGUCAGCACCAUAUCCAUCAUUAUAAACCGGAGUGGUAGUGGGCUUGGGCUUAUAGUCUCCAUAGGCAGCACCAUAUCCAUCAUUAUAAACCGGAGUGGAAGUGGGCUUGGGCUUAUAGUCUCCAUAGUCAGCACCAUAUCCAUCUUUAUAAACGGGAGAGCCAGUGGGCCUGGGCUUGUAACCUUCUUUGUUGUUGUAGUCUCCAUAGUCAGCACCAUGUCCAUUAUUAUAAACGGGAGAGCCACUGGGUCUGGGCUUGUACCCUUCUUUGUUGUUGUAGUCUCCAUAUUCAUCGUUAUAAACAGGGGUGAAAGCGGGCUUGGGCUUAUUCUUUUCUUUGUUGACGUAGUCUCCAUAGUCAGCACCAUAUACAUCAUUAUAAACCGGAAUGGAAGUGGGCUUGGGCUUGUAGUCCCCAUGGUCAGCAUGAUAUCCAUCAUCAUAAACAGGAGUAGCAGUGGGCUUGGGCCUGUAGCCUUCUUUAUUGUUGUAACCAUAAGGUUUGGGCUGGUAGGAGUGG
rnacentral:lncRNA from 1 species